GUCUACGGCCAUACCACCCUGAACGCACCCGAUCUCAUCUGAUCUCGGAAGCUAAGCAGGGUCGGGCCUGGUUAGUACUUGGAUGGGAGAACAGUGUUUGCAGGUGGAGGUGGAGGCC
rnacentral:rRNA from 1 species